ACUUAUGAGUCUAACAGGAACGGGCCGAAAGCAACGGUCAGCUCACGCGAUACGGUGGUGCGCACAAUGGGAGUGCCCACCAGCUCCGCCACCUCAACCACCGCCGCGAGGCUGAAGAGAGAGGAUUUCAGGCGCACCAAGCACGACUCUGCUUUCUCGCAAUGGAAGAUUCUAAUAGGAGCCCACGAUUGGCAAGAUCAUUCAAUGGGAAAAGAAGGAGCGGAAAAGUACAGGACGCAGAACCUCCCAAAUUGGAUUUCUUGCCCAGGAGUGUAUGAGCUUGGGAUAGCUACUUCACGCCCACGAUCUGGGAGAGAGGCCCGCAAGCUUGAGUCAAGCUCUGUAGUUCCUGUUUAUCUUGGACAAGCUGACAAUCUUAGGACUAGACUACAGCAGUAUGGCCGUGAUGGUGCACAUUUAGAGAAUGGAUGUUCGAACAACAAGCUUAGGAACUUUCAAGGUGUUUCUUCCAGUAAGGAGCCUGGAUUAUUCAUAGACGUAUUCUCAAGAGGAUUGCCAAUUGUUUAUAGAUGUGCUCCUAUGAAAAGUAAGAAGGAUGCUGAGAUAACUGAGAAGCAGCUACUUGACAAAUUUGAUUACGCGUGGAACAAAGGCAGUAAUGGUGGACGCCGUCAUGAUGAUAUCUGCAGAAAACUUGACAGUCUUGCAAAAUCAUCGCAGUUUUCUUAUCUAGCAAAGAAGCUUCUUUCUUUCAACCAGAAGAAAGUGGGCAUUAAGAUCAGAACCUAUGAGCCAUGUGUGUCAAAGGAUGGAUCCAAUUUAAGCAAUAUGGAUAACAAUGUGACUAUCUCCAGGAUAUUUGGAAUUAAGAGGUUGCAGCCUACAAAGCUGCAAUAUGGUUCUGAUGAUAAUUGCAGUGAUAUUUGUGGAGUUGCCGUGUGUCAUGGUUCUGUUUGUACUACACCACCUGUAAAGGGUAGGAAACGAUGUGCCAUACACAAGGGAAUGAGAGUUAAUGGCUAUAUUUCGAAGUUGAAUGCAGAAGGAAAAGGGCCUUCUGUUGCUGUAAACGUGGGAUCCAGUAUAAGACCCAACCGACUCUCUGCUGAUCUUCAAGAUCCGAGAUUAACUCACAGCAGAGAGAUUCCUAAUAACGAAAUAUUUGCUCCAAUUUGUGGAUUUAUCUUGGAUGAUGGCUCUCCUUGUAAAAUGAAGCCUCUUCAAAGAAAUAAAAGGUGUUUGGAGCAUAAAGGAAGAAGGAUCCGUGUGUGCCAACCAAAAAAGUUUGUAACAGAAGGAUAGAACAACGUCAUGCAUGCUCAGUCCUCCAAUACAAGACUUUGUAUAAUGAUGGAGAUCAAUACAAAUACUUAAUCUCAAGCUUUGGCAGGGAGCUGUAAUUUAAGCUAGAUUAACCAUAUGUACGUGGAGUCAGUUGAAGGAUGGAGAACAUUGUACAAGACGAGCUGCUUCCAGAACAAAAGAAGGUUCAACUUUUAUAGAGGUGUGAAGUUAAAAGGUCCAACUUUGACAUCACUUGCAGCAGAACUGCCUGCCCUGUGUGUUCGCUGAUGCUGAUUGCAAAACAAACAUGUACCAGAAGAUGAAAGAAAGCAAUAAGCAUAUAGCGGCACAAAGAAUGUUGCACUCGUCCAUUAGAUAAUCGAACACCGUUACAGGUACAUUUCAACCUUAUUUGUGGUGGAGCAGUCAAGCUGCUCAUGACAAACUUAAGCCCCGGUGCCAACAAAGCUUUACAGAUCUGGUAAGAGAAUUUGAAUAUUUGCUUGUACCAUUACAAUACUCUACAUGCACUUCCAAAAUUCAGCCAAGUAUCAUGUACAUGAGUUGCUUUUCAUAUUUACCUAAUAUCAACUCCAUAUAUAAAGCCUCUUUCUAAUAA